rnacentral:rRNA from 1 species
UGGGGGAUAUUGCACAAUGGGGGAAACCCUGAUGCAGCAACGCCGCGUGAGGGAAGACGGUUUUCGGAUUGUAAACCUUUGUCUUUGGUGAAGAAGAAAGUGACGGUAGCCAAGGAGGAAGCCACGGCUAACUACGUGCCAGCAGCCGCGGUAAUACGUAGGUGGCAAGCGUUGUCCGGAAUUACUGGGUGUAAAGGGAGCGCAGGCGGGAGCGCAAGUUGGAUGUGAAAUACCGCAGCUUAACUGCGGAGCUGCAUCCAAAACUGUGUUUCUUGAGUGGAGUAGAGGCAAGCGGAAUUCCGAGUGUAGCGGUGAAAUGCGUAGAUAUUCGGAGGAACACCAGUGGCGAAGGCGGCUUGCUGGGCUCUAACUGACGCUGAGGCACGAAAGGCAUGGGGAGCAAACAGGAUUAGAUACCCUGGUAGU